GAUGAACGCUGGCGGCGUGCCUAAUACAUGCAAGUCGAGCGAACAGACGAGGAGCUUGCUCCUCUGACGUUAGCGGCGGACGGGUGAGUAACACGUGGAUAACCUACCUAUAAGACUGGGAUAACUUCGGGAAACCGGAGCUAAUACCGGAUAAUAUAUUGAACCGCAUGGUUCAAUGGUGAAAGACGGUUUUGCUGUCACUUAUAGAUGGAUCCGCGCCGCAUUAGCUAGUUGGUAAGGUAACGGCUUACCAAGGCAACGAUGCGUAGCCGACCUGAGAGGUUGAUCGGCCACACUGGAACUGAGACACGGUCCAGACUCCUACGGGAGGCAGCAGUAGGGAAUCUUCCGCAAUGGGCGAAAGCCUGACGGAGCAACGCCGCGUGAGUGAUGAAGGUCUUCGGAUCGUAAAACUCUGUUAUUAGGGAAGAACAAAUGUGUAAGUAACUAUGCACGUCUUGACGGUACCUAAUCAGAAAGCCACGGCUAACUACGUG
rnacentral:rRNA from 1 species